UCUAUGGAUAAGGUUGGCUGGAGCUGAAAAACUGUCCUGCCUUUUCAAGGGCCACGAGCUAUCUACAUUCCCACCAUCCGCAGGCAGCCCGUGCCACUCACUUGUCCAACCACUUUAAGCAUUUGAAUUUGCAACUCUGGCUCCAGAUCAGCGUUGUUCAAACUAUCAGUCAUUUUCUCAUGAGUCAUAAAAUCAGUGUCUUGGAUAACCAGCACCAAAAGAAGGAAUAGGAGGAGGAAGAAGAGAAGAAAGAAGAGAAAAAGGAAGAGGAGGUCGAAAAUGGAAUAUAUUGCAUUCAAGAGGUAGCUAUUUGUUGGAUAAACAUCAGAGAAUUGACCCAAGCUUGGAAACAUGAAUACGCACAAAAUACUCAAAACAAAGAAUUAAAACAACUAACUGAAACCAAAGAAGAGAUAUGGAAAUGUUCUUCAUGGGCCUCCCCUAGCUGCAUCUGAAUCCCCAGAACCUGUGAACAGAUUAUUUUAUAUGCCCAAGAGGAUUUUUCAGAGCUGAUAAAAUUAAGAAUCUUGACAUGGGAAGGUUUUCCUGGAUUAUUUGAGUAGAAUCGCAAGAAUUCUUGAAGGAGUCGGAGACGGAACCGUGAUGGCAGAAGCAAGGGACAGAGGGACACCGUAUUAGCAAGAUUUCAUGGAAAGGUUCCCAACCCAAGGAUGUGGCAGCUUAGUGUCUGACACCAUCAGUAUGAGAUGAAGGCCAGACAGUAAUGAAGAGAACGCUUUUCACAUUUCCAAUAUUCCUACAAAACCUAUGUUGAAAUGUGAUCUUCAGUGUGCAGUAUUAAAAGGUAGGAUCCUGAGUGGGAUCCUUCAGCGGUGAUCAGGUCAUGAGGGCUCUGCCCGGAUGAAUGGAUCAAGCCAUUCACGCCGUGAUGGGCUAAGGGCUGUUUGUCUGGUUACAUAACACUCUGCACUGCCCUGGGACUCUGUGGAAUCCCCGGCAGGUCCAUCUUGGACCUCCCAGCUUCCAGAACCAUGAGCGGAAUAAGCUUCAUUCUUUAAAAAUUACCUCCUGUGUUAUUCAUUCAUACCAACAGAAAAUGGACUAAAUGGUCACAUGUCAUAGCUAGAAACUCAUUUCCCCCUCCUAGCAUCAAAGCAAUUGUUGGCUUUUGCUACUUAGGUUUGCCAGCCUUUGCAGUUCUGCAACUCUGCAGGAGCUACCCCGGGAGGAGAGUGAGCAGUGUCUGCGGAAGGUGCCCCGAAUAAGAAGGAAAGCAGGCCCUGAGCGGAACGAGGAAGAGGAAAGUGGAACGUACAAAAAAUGGGACUAAAGUGCUGUGAGAAGGUAGGGGGUGAUUUCAAAACUGAAAACAGUCAUUCAGAGGAAGGACAUUGUAAGAAGCAAACAACCUGCGAUUCGAAGGGACUCUGGAGGAAAUGGAGAGGAAGGGAAACAAAAAGCCAAACCAGUAACGGGCCUAAGGAGAGACUUCCCUUUCCUCCAUAACUGCUGCGGGGUACACAGCUGACCUGCGGCCAUCAAUCCAAGUGCCUCACGGCUGCCUCGGCCAGGGGAAGUUGCACACACGGGCAGAAUGCAGCCGGGGGACCCUGUGAUUGCAUCUGGUCAGCAGCUGCAUUUUCUCCCCUCAUUCUGUGCAAAGUUGCCGUUGACAUCAAAGUGGCUCCUUAUGACCCGUGAUGUCCAGGGACCAAGCUCAGAGGCCCUAUUUCAGGCUCAGGCCUUUUCUUUUUCACACAAUUAUUUGAACCAUUUAUACUGAGACUAUACCCUACGCCCAGAUUUGUACACCAUUUCUAUGUUUUCUAGGCUGUGGUUUAUUGUCUAGCUUGAUGCUCACUGUCACUUGGUGCUGGAUAACCUUUUUAACCUCUCAUUGUCACCGCCUGGAGAACUUCAGGGCUGGGGAUGUAACUCAGUGGUGGAGCAUUCGCCUAGCACAAG